rnacentral:rRNA from 1 species
GAUGAACGCUGGCGGCGUGCCUAAUACAUGCAAGUCGAGCGAACGGACGAGAAGCUUGCUUUUCUGAUGUUAGCGGCGGACGGGUGAGUAACACGUGGAUAACCUACCUAUAAGACUGGGAUAACUUCGGGAAACCGGAGCUAAUACCGGAUAAUAUUUUGAACCGCAUGGUUCAAAAGUGAAAGACGGUCUUGCUGUCACUUAUAGAUGGAUCCGCGCUGCAUUAGCUAGUUGGUAAGGUAACGGCUUACCAAGGCAACGAUGCAUAGCCGACCUGAGAGGGUGAUCGGCCACACGGGAACUGAGACACGGUCCAGACUCCUACGGGAGGCAGCAGUAGGGAAUCGUCCGCAAUGGGCGAAAGCCUGACGGAGCAACGCCGCGUGAGUGAUGAAGGUCUUCGGAUCGUAAAACUCUGUUAUUAGGGAAGAACAUAUGUGUAAGUAACUGUGCACAUCUUGACGGUACCUAAUCAGAAAGCCACGGCUAACUACGUG